AGUGAACGCUAGCGAUAGGCCUAACACAUGCAAGUCGAACGGCAGCACAGUAAGAGCUUGCUCUUACGGGUGGCGAGUGGCGGACGGGUGAGGAAUACAUCGGAAUCUACUUUUUCGUGGGGGAUAACGUAGGGAAACUUACGCUAAUACCGCAUACGACCUACGGGUGAAAGCAGGGGAUCUUCGGACCUUGCGCGAUUGAAUGAGCCGAUGUCGGAUUAGCUAGUUGGCGGGGUAAAGGCCCACCAAGGCGACGAUCCGUAGCUGGUCUGAGAGGAUGAUCAGCCACACUGGAACUGAGACACGGUCCAGACUCCUACGGGAGGCAGCAGUGGGGAAUAUUGGACAAAGGGCGCAAGCCUGAUCCAGCCAUACCGCGUGGGUGAAGAAGGCCUUCGGGUUGUAAAGCCCUUUUGUUGGGAAAGAAAAGCAGCAGGUUAAUACCCCGCUGUUCUGACGGUACCCAAAGAAUAAGCACCGGCUAACUUCGUG
rnacentral:rRNA from 1 species